rnacentral:rRNA from 1 species
CGGGUGAGUAAUGCGUAGGAAUCUACCUAGUAGUAUGGAAUAGCCAUUAGAAAUGAUGGGUAAUACUGUAUAAUCCCUGCGGGGGAAAGAUUUAUCGCUAUUAGAUGAGCCUACGUUAGAUUAGCUAGUUGGUAAGGUAAUGGCUUACCAAGGCUAUGAUCUAUAGCUGGUCUGAGAGGACGAUCAGCCACACUGGAACUGAGAUACGGUCCAGACUCCUACGGGAGGCAGCAGUGGGGAAUAUUGGACAAUGGGCGAAAGCCUGAUCCAGCUAUGCCGCGUGAGUGAAGAAGGCCUUCGGGUUGUAAAGCUCUUUCAAUAGGGAAGAUAAUGACGGUACCUAUAGAAGAAGUCCCGGCAAACUCCGUGCCAGCAGCCGCGGUAAUACGGAGGGGGCAAGCGUUGUUCGGAAUUAUUGGGCGUAAAGGGCACGUAGGUGGACUAGUAAGUUAAAAGUGAAAUACCAAAGCUCAACUU